UACGAAGGGUGCAAGCGUUACUCGGAAUUACUGGGCGUAAAGCGUGCGUAGGCGGUUUGUUAAGUCCGUUGUGAAAGCCCUGGGCUCAACCUGGGAAUUGCAGUGGAUACUGGCGAGCUAGAGUGCGGUAGAGGAUAGGUGGAAUUCCCGGUGUAGCGGUGAAAUGCGUAGAGAUCGGGAGGAACACCCGUGGCGAAGGCGGCCAUCUGGACCAGCACUGACGCUGAGGCACGAAAGCGUGGGGAGCAAACAGGG
rnacentral:rRNA from 1 species